UCUCUUCUACCCGAUCCCCCCCCCUCCCCCCCAAAGCAGAGAGACCCCAGCAGCAGCAGCAGCUGAUGAUGAAGAGAGAGGCAGUGGCAGAGGGGGGGCACCUUUUAUUUCUAUUUUUAAAGGGACAGGACACUAAUUUUACCCCACUUCAACCUUGAAUUGAGGGGGGGUGGGGGGAAGGCGGCUGAGUUCCUUCCCCCACCCUCCAGCCCUGAGACCUGAGAGGGGGAUUGAGCCAGAGAGAGAAGGAGAAGGAGUUUCUUCUUCUUCGAAAACCCCCAUCUACGACUCCUACCCCUUCACCCCUCCAGUAGCCUCCCUCCCGAGCCCCCUCCACCCUCCUCUUUGGCCGCGAGAGAGGAGAGAAAGAGACCAAAAGCCUCUUAGCAACACAGACCCUGCUCUGCUGCUGUUGCUGCUGCUGCUGCUGCUGCUACUGCUGCUGCUUGGCCCUGGCUGGAGACAUCUCACUACACCCAGGAGCAGCCACUUCCCCAGCUCUCCUCCUCCGCCGCCGCCUCCUCCUCCUCCUCCACUCCCCCCUUUAUUACCCUUUGUGUCAUCCUCCACAGCUCCCGGGAAGGCACUCAAAAGUGGGGGGCAGGAAAGACAAUUAUCAACUUUCCAGUUUUCUAUGGAUAUGAAGAUUUACUGCUAGUCAUCAGUGGGACCCAAUGAAGUCAGCCAGAAAACCUAUAUCCAACCUAUGUACCUUUGCAAACUUGUCUGGAUUUUGAAUCAUACUCAUUUUCUCAAUCUUGAGUUCUCAAUUCACAGUGGUUUUUCAAGGACCUUAUUUUUGAGAUGUUUAUUGAGAAUAUCAGUUUCUGCAUGUGGGCAGUAGAUAUUGAAGGUUAUAUGGUUUACAGAAAGCAUCUUUAAAAGAUAAACACUCAAGGACCAAGGAAAUAAAACACCAGAAGCCCAGAGCACAGAAUAUUUUCCUUCACCAAUUCAUAGAAUCGUGAUACUUCUCUAAUUCCAUCAAAUACAAAGGAAUGACCACCUUGGCAGAUGGCCACAGAGGAUGUCAACAGUUUUUUGGAGGCAAGCAAUAAAAUAUUGAUGCUUUGAGUUUUCUAUUAUUAACUUCUGAAAAGGAAGUAAAGCAUUAUAAAAUCCUAUUGUGGGUCCUCGUGUUUUGCCAUUCUUGCAUGAAACACAUGAAAUAUCCAAAAGU